rnacentral:rRNA from 1 species
GAUCAUGGCUCAGGAUGAACGCUAGCUACAGGCUUAACACAUGCAAGUCGAGGGGCAGCAUGACCUAGCAAUAGGUUGAUGGCGACCGGCGCACGGGUGAGUAACGCGUAUCCAACCUGCCCAUCACUUGGGAAUAACCUUGCGAAAGUAAGACUAAUGCCCAAUGAUAUCCCACGAAGGCAUCCGAAUGGGAUUAAAGAUUUAUCGGUGAUGGAUGGGGAUGCGU